rnacentral:rRNA from 1 species
CAGUAGCCACGGUAAUACGAAGGUCCCGAGCGUUGUUCGGAAUCACUGGGCGUAAAGGGAGCGUAGGCGGCGUGGUAAGUCAGAUGUGAAAUCCCGGGGCUCAACCCCGGGACUGCAUCCGAUACUGCCGUGCUAGAGGAUUGGAGAGGUAGCUGGAAUUCUUGGUGUAGCAGUGAAAUGCGUGGAGAUCAAGAGGAACACUCGUGGCGAAAGCGAGCUACUGGACAAUAUCUGACGCUGAGGCUCGAAGGCCAGGGUAGCGAAAGGGAUUAGAUACCCCCGUAGUCCCUGUCUCUUAUAU